rnacentral:rRNA from 1 species
UGGCUCAGAUUGAACGCUGGCGGCAUGCCUUACACAUGCAAGUCGAACGGCAGCGGACCUUCGGGUGCCGGCGAGUGGCGAACGGGUGAGUAAUAUAUCGGAACGUACCUUUCAGUGGGGGAUAACGUAGCGAAAGUUACGCUAAUACCGCAUAUUCUGUGAGCAGGAAAGCAGGGGAUCGCAAGACCUUGCGCUGAUUGAGCGGCCGAUAUCAGAUUAGCUAGUUGGUGAGGUAAAGGCUCACCAAGGCGACGAUCUGUAGCGGGUCUGAGAGGAUGAUCCGCCACACUGGAACUGAGACACGGUCCAGACUCCUACGGGAGGCAGCAGUGGGGAAUUUUGGACAAUGGGCGCAAGCCUGAUCCAGCCAUGCCGCGUGAGUGAAGAAGGCCUUCGGGUUGUAAAGCUCUUUCGGCCGGGAAGAAAUCGCACGGGUUAAUACCCUGUGUGGAUGACGGUACCGGAAUAAGAAGCACCGGCUAACUACGUG